CGUUUCACUGCAUGUCCGUCUGGUUGUUUUGGCAUUUUUCGUCUGUUGCCAGCGGUUGCCUGUUGAUUGAAUCAAACUCAACUUUAUCAAACAGAUAGCUGAAAAGUCCCCGCCCAUUUUCCGGUGGUUCCAGUCUGUUUUCAGUCACUCGGACCAUUUCGUACCUGUGAAAUGAAAGAUAUAGGUAUUCUAGAGCGACGCCUCCUUUGAGUGGCCCUGACAAGGUCCCUUUUGGAUUACCAUGCCAACGAGGCUACAAUGGAGAUAAUUAAAUUGUGCCCCAUCCAGGUAGUCCAGAUGACGCGAAGGUGCCGAGACGGAAUUCAAAUUCGUCGUAGUUGAGUCACAACUUGAAACGGCCAACCAAAUGAGCAAAGGACGUGCCACAUGAAGAUAAAGGACCACUAUUUGUUUUAUCCGAGUCGAAGAAAGCCAGGAAGCACCGACGAUAAGGAUUUCGAGUUUCGACCGCUAGGUGGCUCAUUCCAUCAGGUGGGCGGUGCCGCGUUAGAAAAAUCGUCUGCUGUUGCAGCCGGUGGAACAAACUUCAACGGGUGACUCACUACACCAGCAGUUAGUGGCGCGAAAAAGUAAUCGUCUGCUGCUGCUGCUGUACCGUGGUGUAGGCGGGUCUAGGCGUUUAACACAUGUUACGUGAAAUCUUGAAUGAAUCCAAUAAGAAGUAACCUAUUCGAAUGGCUAUAAUAGAAGUUCUCUAUUGUUUUUCCAAAGACAUGAAGUCUGAGUUUGCAAAGUUCUAAUUCACAGUUGCACGUGGUUUGAUCCUCCUUAUCAACGAAGCUGUUUGUGUGAUUGCUGUUUUAAUUUUUGGAGUUAUCCUCAUCAUCUUUUGGAGCCGACAAUCCAACGUCAGUCAACUCUUUCUCGACUUUCCCUUUUUACUGUGUCCUCGUGUACAUUCAUGAGAAGGUGAGUGUAUUCACGAGGACUUCCUUUCCUUCCGCUCUUCCUUAUACCUGACAUUGAGACUUUUCCAGCUACGACGUUCGACUUUCUCAUCCAUUUAAGGUAAUACAGUCGACCAUUUCAUUGCAAAUUUGAUUUUAAGCCACUUGGCAGCAGCUUAACAGUGAUAACUUCAUCUUCGUUCAAUGGCGCCUUCAAUUUCUGCGUGAUGUAGCUCACUUGACGCCUUUCAAUUAUUUAUAGUCUGGCGGUUAUCGCGAUUAUAACAAAAUUUUGUGGUUGUGUUUUCCAUCAGACCACAAUGUCCACCGAAACUUCGUGUUUCUGUCAUCUGUCAACUCGUGUCUGUUCAUCGUCUGUUUCUUAUGUUCCAUGAUUAAAUGUCCUUUUCUAAUAAUGUUU